CACGUAGGGACCAAGCGUUGUCCGGAUUCAUUGGGCGUAAAGAGCUCGUAGGCGGCUCAGUAAGUCGGGUGUGAAACCUCCAGGCUCAACUGCGGGUCUGCAGCCGAUACGGGCAGGCUAGAGUUCGGUAGGGGAGACUGGAAUUCCUGGUGUAGCGGUGAAAUGCGCAGAUAUCAGGAGGAACACCGGUGGCGAAGGCGGGUCUCUGGGCCGAUACUGACGCUGAGGAGCGAAAGCGUGGGGAGCGAACAGG
rnacentral:rRNA from 1 species